AUCAAUCCUAGCAGCCCGAGGCUGCCUCUCUCUCCCCCUCUCCCCGGGAACACACCCGCCGCCGCCUCUCUCUGCCCUCUCCCCAAUCCAACUCGACGACGACGGCCCGCCGUCGCCGCCCCCUCCUUCCCCAUCCCGCCACCGCCUCUCUCUCCCACCCACGCUGAUCCAUCCCCUCCCCUUGUCUCUCACAUUGCCUCCGCACCCAUCCUCCCCCUUAUCUCGCUCCCACACACAGCUGCCGGAGCCACCCCAACCCAAACCCUCUCCCUCACACCUUGAUCCGAUGUCACACCCAUCAUCGACAACCCAGAUCGAGCAGGCGGGGCGGUGCUUCCAGACCCGCGACAGCGGCAAUGGGCUCGCGUCCCAGAUCACAAGAAUGUCCCCUUCCUCUCGAUCUCAUUGUGCUCCUCUCGAUCCCAUCCCCUUCCUCCCCACAACGGAGCCUCGAUUUUGACCGCGUCUUGUUGCUGUGUGCAGAAGUCCGAGAGGCACGGGGCCGAGGACGUGUGCCAGAUCUGCGCCGACGGCCUAGGCACCACGGUGGAUGGCGGGUCUUCACUACCUGCGACGUCUGCCGCUUCCCGGUCUAGUGCCCCUGCUACGUGCAUGAGCGCAAGGACGGCACCCAGGCCUGCCUCCAGUGCAAGACCAAGUACUAGCGCUUCUGCCAGCUCGACCGCAGCGCCAAGGGCUUCAUCUCCGAGGACGAGUUCCUCUCCAUCCUGGAGUUCUCCACCAACCCGCUCUCCCAUCCACCGAAGCUCUGCUUUUAGUGCUGUCAUUCAGAUUCAGAGAUGAAGGAAAAACAGCUGAUGGACUUUGGAGUCACGUAGAUUUUGCUUGUUGUGGCAUUGCUUGAAUUUGGGUUAUUGGAUAGCUAGAGCUACGUAGGAUUUCUUCUAAUUUACUCCAGGAGACGAAGACCACGCUUCAUGAAUUCAGGGCAGCGUCGAGGUGGUCAUGUGGGAUCCUGUCGAACAGCUCGUGCUCGCUGUCGACUUCGAUGGCAGGGUCACCCGCUCCAUCGGCCUCCUCUCCGGCAGGAUGUACUACUCAGAUUUCAUCCCCUACUUCAACUCAUACACAGAGAUCUACAUGUACUACUCGGAUUAAACUCUGUUCUACUGUACAAUUACACACGAAAGCUGUCUUACCGUAUUGUUGGAUCUGUUAAUCACUGCCCACAUGUUAGAUCGGUUUGAUUUUGAGAUGCAGCGAGACUUUGAUGUUUCUGAAUUCUAAUGUGAAAUCAUGUCUACGUCAGUUGAACUUUGCUCGACUUCCUGUAGAUCGAUGGUGAUAUCAACAUGCAUCCUAAUUGCCAAUCUCGAGUCUGCACUUCUAUACGUUUUUGAUGUGAAACACUUAUGCAUGACUAGUUGUUAAGUUUGUACAAUUUCUUUGGUAGACAAGCAUGGAAAUAUGUACCAACUUUAGUGAAAACUGAGCUUUUCUUAACUAAUCAAGAACUCCCUCAUUAUGUGAAACACCUAUGCAUAUGACUAAUUCUGCACGACAAUUCUGUUCAAUUUGGAUUUCUUUGGUAGUCAAUUAUGUUCAAUUGUGAAACACCUCCUGCAUAUGACUGUGAAAGCAUGUCUACAUCAGUACAACUUUGCAUGCAUAUUUUAUUGACUAGAUAUAUACGUGUUGACUAUUGGUCUGUUCCUAUGUACCACAUAUUGUGUAAUGUAGUUUGCUUGUAUGGUGUUAGUGAAAAUGUUUGUAUGAAAAUAAUUGACAUUGGUGACAGCUUACAUGGCCAUUAGAAAUGCGGAAGCGUACAACAGCUGCGGCCGCCCAUGCCCUGCAUCUCCUGGUCUCUCUAUACCCUGCCUGCAUACUGUCUGUUUGUGAUUUUUCUAGCAAGUAUCUGUUCAUGAGAAAUAAGCUUCCCAUGAUUCACAGGACCAACAACUACUUGUUCUAGCACGUUUAUUUCAAACAAUUUGUGAUUCAUGCUGUUUGAUGAACGAGUAUCCAUGUCGGGAGACUAGCAGAACUUAUAAACUUUAGUUUUCUCACCACUAGUCACUUAUCCUGCUGUUCAUGUCCCUACAUCAUUUGUAUUGGUUCUAUGUUAUAGCUGCUGCAAACAAUUUAUUAAUGUGGGAUGUGGCUCUAAGUCCAAUUCUGUUUCUCUUCUCAAGAAAUCCCCUCUGCCUCUGGUGUGCAGCAAGUUGAUGGUUCUGUCUCUGUAUUAUUGUGGAGAUUGGCCAAGUGUUAGUCGAUCUGCAAGCCGGUUUAAGAGCUUGAUUGGACGGUCCAAUUCAACACGGAGCUGAGUGUCUGUUGAAACUUUUCAUCCAUCAAGCGCCGCUUCCAAUUCAACACGGAGCUGAGUGUCUGUUGAAACUUUUCAUCCAUCAAGCGCCGCCUCCGGCCGCCCCGACGACGCCCUCGCCUCCAACCGCCCCGAUGACGCCCUCGCUUCUGCAUUUGGUCCUGAUGUAUUCCUUUGACUAAUGAAUCUAGCAGCAUCAAAGUCCAGAAUAUCCAAAAUGCCUUGGCUUGCUGAACCCUUGUGCUGGUUAGAAAUGCAGAAUUGUGAUAUUGUGCUGGGAGCACUCUUGUUACAGUCAUAAGUUAGAUUUCAGCUUUGCAUCUUUUCAGGUUUAACUGUUGGUUUACAUUGAAAUUGUUAAGCAAGUACCAAAUUGAGUGCAUAGUGUGCAAUUUGUAUUUAGUAAUCUAGUAGCUCAUAAGCAUCAGACCAUAUGUUUUCUUAUAAGCACACUAAAUUGAUGGUUGAAAGAUUUUAUAUGCUUCUGAUGCAUGAUUCUUCUAA